GGAUUAGAUACCCUGGUAGUCCACGCCGUAAACUAUGAUCACUAGAUGUUGGCGAUAUAAUGUCAGCGUUCAAGAGAAAUCGUUAAGUGAUCCACCUGGGGAGUACGUUCGCAAGAAUGAAACUCAAAGGAAUUGACGGGGGCCCGCACAAGCGGUGGAGCAUGUGGUUUAAUUCGAUGAUACGCGAGGAACCUUACCAAGGCUUAAAUGUAAUACGACCGAUUGAGAAAUCAAUCUUUUUUCGAACGGAUUACAAGGUGCUGCAUGGUUGUCGUCAGCUCGUGCCG
rnacentral:rRNA from 1 species